CCUACGGGUGGCAGCAGUGAGGAAUAUUGGUCAAUGGACGAGAGUCUGAACCAGCCAAGUAGCGUGAAGGAUGACUGCCCUAUGGGUUGUAAACUUCUUUUAUAUGGGAAUAAAAUGUUCCACGUGUGGGCUUUUGUAUGUACCAUAUGAAUAAGGAUCGGCUAACUCCGUGCCAGCAGCCGCGGUAAUACGGAGGAUCCGAGCGUUAUCCGGAUUUAUUGGGUUUAAAGGGAGCGUAGAUGGGUUGUUAAGUCAGUUGUGAAAGUUUGCGGCUCAACCGUAAAAUUGCAAUUGAUACUGGCAGUCUUGAGUACAGUUGAGGUAGGCGGAAUGCGUGGUGUAGCGGUGAAAUGCUUAGAUAUCACGAAGAACUCCGAUUGCGAAGGCAGCUUACUAAACUGCCACUGACAUUGAUGCUCGAAAGUGUGGGUAUCAAACAGGAUUAGAUACCCGAGUAGUC
rnacentral:rRNA from 1 species